AACAAGGCGUACCUGCGGACCUGCGGAGGGAUCAUUACAGAGUUGCAAAACUCCCUAAACCAUUGUGAACGUUACCUAAACCGUUGCUUCGGCGGGCGGCCCGGGUCCUUCCCGGCGCCCAUCGGCCCUCGCGGGCGCCCGCCGGAGGUAAACCAAACUAUUGCAUUGUAUGGCCUCUCUGAGUCUUCUGUACUGAAUAAGUCAAAACUUUUAACAACGGAUCUCAGAUCGGAAGAGCAC
rnacentral:misc_RNA from 1 species